AUAUCCGAAGAAACCGGUCCGAAUGUCCAAACUAUAUACAAUGUAAUUAUAUGAAACAUGAAUAUAUACUUCAAAUAUUCAAUUUCAUAUUUAUUUUUAUAUGGUAUCUAACAAUAAGUAUUAAAAAUUUAAAUAACUACUUUAAAUACUUAAUUAUAUAUAAAUAAGUAUAUAUUUCUUAUGUUUUGCUUUUAAAUUUUAGAUUUUAUUUCGGGUAUAUCCGAACCGAUCCGAUAUAACCUGAAUCCGAAUGAUAUAUGGUUACUUUAUGGGUUAUAUGAUGUGAUGCAAAACCGACCUGAACCCGAUGUGUUAUAUCUGAACCCGAUCCGUACUUGCAAAUUUACUAGAAUGAGACCUAAGAGGUGUUAUCAAAAAGAACCAAAAUCCAAAAACCCGACCCGAACGCCAACGGGUACCCGAACGCCAACGGGUACCCGAACGCCCAGGCCUAGUUAUACGAGUUGUAGAAGGUAUGUUUUAUAUAUUCGAACAAUGACCUGAGAUUAUAUUUGAUCUGAAUGCAAGUAGUGUUUUGUUAUCGAUGAUGAUCAAGAACCAUUGAUUUCUCAAUUCAAGAUUGGAGAUGAAACCUACUCAUCAAAAAUGAUUACAAAUCUAAAACCUGGUGAGGAACAAGAAGAUCCAGAAAGGAGGUAUGUUGAGUAAAUAAGAGUUUAUGAUCGGAUAACUUAGAGAGAGAGUGAUUGAUGAGGAUAUGAAGAUUGAAGAGAGAACGUUGUGGGAAAUUAAGCAAGUAAUUACACUUGGACUUAUGUUCACUAACAAAUCUCUGUCAAAGCAAAUCAAACUUCUACGCAGAUUUAUGACAUGGUGUUUCUUCGUAUGAGUCUAGCUCAAGGCAUCAAUCAGAUAUGUAAUUAGGUUGUGUGUAUUGAAGAAUUGAAGCUUUACUCUUUUGUUUUGAUUUUAAUAGAUAAGAUAAUUCUUUUCCGAUUUCAAGAUAUAUUUUGUAUACAACCAAUAAAAUUGCACCUUACUUUUUA